rnacentral:rRNA from 1 species
CAGCCGCCGCGGUAAUACCGGCAGCUCAAGUGAUGACCGAUUUUAUUGGGCCUAAAGCGUCCGUAGCUGGCCGCGCAAGUCCAUCGGAAAAUCCACCCGCUCAACGGGUGGGCGUCCGGUAGAAACUGCGUGGCUUGGAACCGGAAGGCUCAGAGGGUACGUCCGGGGUAGGAGUGAAAUCCUGUAAUCCCGGACGGACCACCGAUGGCGAAAGCGCUCUGAGAAGACGGAUCCGACAGUGAGGGACGAAAGCUGGGGUCUCGAACCGGAUUAGAUACCCGGGUAGUCCCAGCUGUAAACGAUGUUCGCUAGGUGUGUCACUCACUACGAGUGAGUGAUGUGCCGCAGGGAAGCCGCUAAGCGAACCGCCUGGGAAGUACGUCUGCAAGGAUGAAACUUAAAGGAAUUGGCGGGGGAGCACUACAACCGGAGGAGCCUGCCGUUUAAUUGGACUCAACGCCGGACAUCUCACCAGCCCCGACAGUCGAUAAUGACAGUCAGUGUGACGAAUCUGCUCGAGUCGAUGAGAGGAGGUGCAUGGCCGCCGUCAGCUCGUAACCGUGAGGGUCCUGUUAAGUCAGGCAACGAGCGAGACCCACGUUCCUAAUUGCCAGCACCGGCGCACGCCGGGUGGGUACAUUAGGAAGACUGCCGCUGCUAAAGCGGAGGAAGGAAUGGGCAACGGUAGGUCAGUAUGCCCCGAAUGGGCUGGGCAACACGCGGGCUACAAUGGUCAGGACAAUGGGUUCCUACCUCGAGAGAGGACGGUAAUCUCAGAAACCUGGUCGUAGUUCGGAUUGUGGACUGAAACUCGUCCACAUGAAGCUGGAUUCGGUAGUAAUCGCGUUUCAGAAGAGCGCGGUGAAUACGUCCCUGCUCCUUGCACACACCGCCCGUCAAAGCACCCGAGUGAGGUCCGGAUGAGGCCACGUUCCCGAGGUCGAAUCUGGGCUUCGCAAGGUGGCUUAAGUCGUAACAAGGUAGCCGUA